AACACUCCUACUCUGAGACUGGAGGAGAGGAAGAGGGUGAAAGAGGGGAUCGAGAGGAGGAGGGUGUCGGCUACAGAGAGGAGGAUGAAGAACCUCAGUAUCUCCAGCAUUGAGGGAGACGAGUCCUUCAGCCCCUUCAGUCCCAUGAGCCCCACCUUCAAGAAUGACAAGGAGAACAGGAUGACGGCUGACAAUACCUGCACGGUGAGGUUCAGUUUGAGACCAAGGUUCCAGAGACCAAAAGUGUUUCAGA